rnacentral:misc_RNA from 1 species
GAUGAAGAACGCAGCGAAAUGCGAUAAGUAAUGUGAAUUGCAGAAUUCAGUGAAUCAUCGAAUCUUUGAACGCACAUUGCGCCCGCCAGUAUUCUGGCGGGCAUGCCUGUUCGAGCGUCAUUACAACCCUCAGGCCCCCGGGCCUGGCGUUGGGGAUCGGCGGAAGCCCCCUGUGGGCACACGCCGUCCCUCAAAUACAGUGGCGGUCCCGCCGCAGCUUCCAUUGCGUAGUAGCUAACACCUCGCAACUGGAGAGCGGCGCGGCCAUGCCGUAAAACACCCCACUUCUGAAUGUUGACCUCGAAUCAGGUAGGAAUACCCGCUGAACUUAAGCAUAUCAAUAAGCGGAGGA